UCAAACUUGUGAUUCUCCUACCAUCCC
rnacentral:piRNA from 1 species